UCAGUCUGUCUCUUCAGGACAUGCUCCAUUUAUUUACCACAGAAGACACAGGAGCAGAGACUGUCAGUGGAACAUUGUCUCUGUAGCAAGCCUGGACUGAGCUGAAGACAGACGGUUUAUCCUAGUGCAGGGGCCAAGGGCCCAUUUGCUCUGAGAUGCUCAUCCUUCUGUUGGGUUAGAACCGGACAUCUCUUAGCGAGCCUAGGGCAGGGUAUCAGCAUUGUACAUGUUUACUAAGAGACUUUGAGAUCUUUUCUGUGAGCUUGUGGUGAAGGCCACGGUACCAACUGAAAACCCUUGAAACUGGGCUUAUUCCUCCCACAGGAGGAAACUUUCAGAAGUUCUCACUAUGUGACCUGGUCACCCUCACAGUUCCUCAGGUGGGGGAGCACAGAGCUCAACAAUGCUGGGAACACAAAAAACAAUGUUUGACUUGAAGCCAGAGGAUCUGAUGCCAGCUCUGGCUCUGCUCCUGAUAGGCUGUGAGAUCUUGAAUAAUGUCCUUCCAUCUCUGAACCUCACUUUCCACAGCUGCACCCCGAAGCUUGGACUAAGGUAGUAAGAUUUCCUUCCAUUUUUAGGAUAACAGGAAGCUGUUACAGCCAUCUGCUACCUCGAAAAGCCAUGGCCUGCCUGCCUUUUGGCUUUGUUCCAAAGGAACUACUAUCCAUUUGGGCCUCCUCAACCCCUGACCUUGUCCAAUCAACCUGGUUGUCAUUCACGCACUGAUGAGUCCAUGGCUCUUGCCACUGGCCUAGAGUAAAGGUCCCAAGGAGAGAGGGCCACUUCCCAGAGCUGCUGUGGAGCUUGAACAUUCAUUGUGCCCAUGGUUUGAUAGCAUCUCAGGAUUAUUUAUCAUACUCUUUCAUACUGUCUUCUCUCUUGCUGCUCAUGAAGCAUCACUUAUCAUUUCCGUUGACGUUUACUCAAGUUCUAGGAUCGAACUUGACAGGAAAGAGACUUGGAAUUAAGAAGAGAAGAUUCUCUGUCUUGUGAAGGCUUAGUUUUGUUGGGCAGAAAGCCACGCCUUAGGAAGGGAAGC
rnacentral:lncRNA from 1 species